CCAUGAAGGCUUGCAUGAAGCUCAAUUACUGAAGUAACUAAAUACCCUAAAAUUAGAAAGUAUAGAAACAAUGAGAUGGUUAUUAUUAUUGGUUUAUCUUUGGGCUUAACAGGUUUUCCAUUAUCACAUAGCUGGCUCCCUUAUCUAGGGUAUUGUCGCAGAUUCGCUCUGAUUUCAAAACAGCUUCUAACGAGGAGAAAGCAUGGUAACCAUUAUAGCUGCAUUCAUGACAUUUACUUGAAAUUGACCUAACUUUUCUCUCAGUACUUUGCAACUUAUUAUUUCUCUUUAGGGUGAAGUUGGCCCAACUAUUCUAUAAGUCAAGAUAUUAAGUUAUCCCAAACCUUUGCAGUUGUUGGUCCUAGCCAUUGUUUUUCUCUCAGAGCAAGUUGCCCUGACAUAAUACCACAGUGUUCACCCCAAUAAUUACAUACACAAGCUUUCUUUUUUUGUUUUACUUUUCCAAAUAGUUACAACAAAUUUAAACUGAACCUUCUCCUUGCAUUAACCAACCACAAGGAUAAGGAAAACCAAAAGUCAGAAUGCAAAUGGUGUCACAGAGCAUUUGGAAUGAAAAACUUUCAGGUCAAAGACAUCAACACAUACUUAAAGAUUCUCACUUUAUUAAGAACAUGCUGUCAAAAUGUUCACAUCUUGGAAUUUUAACAUUGAAUAACAUAACGGUUAGUCAGCAAUACAAAUUUUGACUAAUACGUCAACUGGAACGCCUCUACAGAAAAACUGGUCUAACCAUCCACAAACAAAUGUUUAAUACCCAUUUCCUUUCCUAUAAAGAUUCUGUUUCCACUGCAAAAUCCAACUAUUAUACAGAUUUAAUCAGGUCAGGCUCUGGCAACUCUCAAGCACUCUUCUCACUGGUUCACAAAACGCUAUGCCCACCGGACUCUCUCCCUCCUCACUUUUACUCCUCUGACUCAUGUAAUUCCAUUAUGACAUUUUUUAAUACUAAAAUUGACCGUAUCCAUCAGCAGUUAGCCCCCCAGAUCUCAACCCUGAAAUUUUCCCCUGACAUUCAAACUUCUUCCCCUCAUCCUUUCUCUGACUUUACCCUCCCCUCUGCUGCUGAAAUAACCAACCUUGUUGGCAAAUCUAAACCAUCAACUUGCCAACUUGAUCCUCUCCCCACUAUACUGGUUAAAGCUUGCAUUCACUCCCUGACCCCUCUUAUAACUGCAAUUAUCCAUUCCUCUUUCAUCUCUGGUACUGUUCCGUCACCCCUCAAAUCAGCUGCAAUAACCCCCAUUCUCAAGAAACCUGGUGCUGACCCCAGCAACUUCAACAAUCUCCACCCAAUCUCCAACCUCCCCUUCCUUUCAAAGAUUCUUGAAAAAACAGUUGCCUCUCAGAUCCAUGACCACCUCUCCCACAACAGUCUAUAUGAACAGUUCCAAUCAGGCUUCCGUCCCCUUCAUAGCACCGAAACAGCUCUUGUUAAAAUAACCAAUGACCUCCGCAUGGCUGCGGACUCUGGACUUCUAACAAUCCUCAUCCUCCUGGACCUGAGUGCAGCUUUUGACACCAUUUCCCAAACCAUCCUCAUCGACCGACUAGCCUCCCUUGGAUUAUCUGAUACACUCCUGGACUGGUUUAAAUCAUAUCUUUCUGGCCGUACUCAGUUUGUCCGACUCAAGACAUUCAGAUCCCUCUCCUCUGGUGUUCCCCAAGGUUCUGUCCUUGGACCCCUUCUGUUCAUUAUCUAACUUCUCCCUCUUGGCUGUAUUUCCGUAAACAUAACAUUCAGUUCCACUGCUAUGCAGAUGACACCCAGCUCUACCUAUCUACCAAACCCACAACGUCCCUCCCUCCCAACUCCCUAUCUGACUGUCUUCAGGAAAUCAGAUCCUGGUUCUCCCAAAACUUUCUCAAGCUCAACAGUGACAAAACUGAACUCCUCCUUAUUGGCACCAAAUCCAUCCUCUCUAAAAUAAAUGACUUUUCCAUCUCCAUAGAAAAUUCAUCUGUAUCCCCCUCUUCCCAGGUUAAGAGUCUGGGUGUCAACCUAGAUAGCACUCUAUCAUUCCAGUCCCACAUAAAUAACGUCACUCGGUCAGCAUAUUUCCAUUUACGUAACAUCUCUCGCUUGCGCCCAUCUCUCUCCCCCAACAGUGCAGAAAUUCUGGUUCACACCCUGGUCACAUCCCGGCUAGACUAUUGCAACUCUCUUCUCUUUGGUUUACCUGACAAAUCCAUCCAUAAACUACAACUGGUCCAAAACUCUGCUGGCCGUAUCAUUACCAGAACCCCCUCCAUCAGUCACAUAACACCUGUCCUGCAGCAACUCCAAUGGCUCCCCUUCAAAUACCGCAUCAUCUACAAGAUCCUCCUCCUUACUUUCAAGGCCAUCAACAAUCUUGCCCCUCCAUAUCAAGACACCCACCCGUUCUCUCAGGUCCUCUUCCUCAAUCCAGCUCAUCCUCCCACCUGCUCGUCUGGUUACCAUGGGGUCGAGAGCUUUCAGUCGCUCAGCUCCCCACCUCUGGAACUCUCUCCCUCACUACAUCCAACACUCCAAUUCCAUUACCACUUUCAAAUCUCACCUGAAAACCCAUCUUUUCAGACAGGCCUAUUCCCUUUAAUUUAAUUUGCUUUGACUGGAACGACCCCACCCUUUCUCUUGUUUUUAUUAUUAUUAUUAUUAUUAUUAUGUUGUUUUAUUGCCUGCUUUUAUGAUUGCUUUUUGGAUGGACUGAGUGUUUUUAUUGUUGAUUUUGUAAGGUGACCUUGAGUGUUGAGAAAGGCGCCCAUAAAUAAAAUGAAUUAUUAUUAUUAUUAUUAUUAUUAUUAUAAAUACUAUCAGUUAAAUAUGUAAUUAGUGAUUAGCACCAUGUUAAUUACCGCUAGUUAAUUGUGCCCCGCUGCUCAUGAACUUUCUGUGAGAGGGGAAGGGGUUGUUGGGCAACACUCAUUUUUGCUAUAGGCAGAAGUCUAUAGAUUAUAGAGACUUUAAAUAAUGAUCGAUGACAUGAAAGCUCACCCAAAGUGAAGUUAAAAUAUCUUGACUGACCCCUGCUGCAGCAAAGGUCAUAAACCCACCUCCUCCAUGUUAGCAAAUGGGAAAUGAAUCAAUCUAAAAAGUAAAAGUUCACCUUAAAUAACAAUUUUUCCCCAAAUUAUCUUCAUAUCCUUUUUUGAAGAUAGAAAUUGUUAGCCUCCUGUUGUUUGCUGGCCUUGACUCUCUGCAGGUCCACUCAUUUGGCAAUUUCUUUGCGGUCAUUGUGAUGCCCUCCGCUGCAUCGACCUUCUUGCAUUGCCAUGUGUACGUCACAUCAGAAUGGGAUUCCGGGUACAAAUAGAUGCUCCACUCCACUCACAAGAUGGGUCUUCUUCUUUGCCCAAGAUCUUUAGGUUGUUUGGGGUUGGCAAGAGGUCUUCCACAGCAUUUAAAUGUUUGGUUAUACUUGCCUUUGUCAGUAACCCAAAGUUCCUUCAUACCAUGUCAGUAAUUUACAUUCAUAGACUUUAUAUUUUUGAACCAUAUUUGGAUCAAAAGCUUCAAGUUUACAGCAGAUACAGUGGCUGUUAAAUCAACAUCGAAUUAACAUUCAUUUAAGUAUAUCAGUAGCUACCCAAUAUUAAAGGACUGAGUUCUAUCAUGGCCAAAAAACUAUAGGCUAACUGAAAUAAAUAUAAAUCUACCUGUUAAUUUCAGUUAUGAUAAUUCAUCUCAAAACGUCAUUAAAGGACAUUUAAUUUCACUCUUUUAGCAACAAGAUCAAAAUAGGGCCCCUCAAAGGCUAGAAAUGGUCCUGGGGCAUCUCAUGACCUCGGUAAUUCUGAAGCUCAUGGCCUCCCUGCCCAUUUAAAUCCUGUAGCCUGUCAGGCGUCUCUGGGACUGACAUCACGGACUCUAACUCAUUCCAUUCAUUACUGGAGGUGUUUCUCUUAAUUCAGCUCUCAUCUAUUGGUUUUCUGCUCCAGUGAGCAAGGUGCAAACAUAUCAAUAUUACCACAGGGGGGCGGGGGGUGCUGCUCUAAUCAACAUCACCCAGAGCCAGUCCACACAGCCUGCACCAUGAGUAAUCAUGAAAAACUACUGGGGAGCAGGAAGCAGCUGCUUUAAUUCAGAAAUAUUCACAGUGUAGUGAAUCCCCCUUUACCAAUGUUAGGGGGCAGAAUUGAUCGGUUCAUUCACUCUCCCACCCGCCCCGGUCUCAUCAAAUUGGCGUGACCUAUAGAUGCUGCCACCAUGAAGGAGCGCGGAGCACCGAGGAUUCCCCACCCCUGACGAUAUAAAUACAGUGAGGGAGCACAGUCUGCAGACCCUCUGAACUUCUCUCGGCCUCUCUGCUGGACGCUAAGCUCACAGGACCACCGGCACAAUGAAAGUGAGUAUACGCUGGACUUUUGGAUGGUAGUUAACAUAGGUGGAAUGUUCUGUACGUGGAGCGUUUUUCUUCUUUCGUAAAAGUUAUAUAUAAAAGUACAUAUACUUUUUCCUCGAAGACUGCAUUAAAGAAAAUAGAAUAUCAUUUUGAUAAAACACCAUUACACAUAUGCUUCCUUUUAUUUUCAGGCAUUUUACACAUCAUCUGACAACCAAUUGAAACAUUAAAGCAAAGUUCUUACACACAUACGUAUAUAUAUAUUCAUAAUUACAUUAUUUUUCAUUUUUUUUAAAGCCAGGGGAAAUUGAGGAUGCGCAUUCUAUGCGUAGUGCGUUAAUUUGGAACCAAAACGGACAUCAGAUCGGAGUCUUCCUCUGGGAUUCUGCUCUGUUAACAUUUGUGAAUCAAAAGGUUUUCCCAUUUUCCUCCCACAGGGUUUGAGGACCAUCACAUUAACUUAUGUACUCACCCUUUUACUACUGGCGACGUUUGUCUCGCAGUCCUGGAGUGCACCGAAGGGCUCUUUCCAAAGAAGAAACUGGACCCCGCAGGCCAUGUUGUAUCUCAAGG